AACCCUCAAGCUCUGCUUGGUGUUGGGGAUCGGCAAGGCGUCCUCCGGGUCGCGCCGUCCCCCAAAUAUAGUGGCGGUCUCGCUGUAGCUUCCUCUGCGUAGUAAUACACCUCGCUCUGGAGUCUCGGUGCGGCCACGCCGUAAAACCCCCAACUUUUUUCUGG
rnacentral:misc_RNA from 1 species